CCUGGAGCCUGGGGAGUCGCCUGCGCUACCACGAGUGGGGCCCCACUCCCUUCCUUCUCUUGCGCCCCCACCCACCCCCCAUUUUGGUCCUGGGUUAGAUUUCGGGUGGUGGCCCUGAGAAUGCGGGAGGGGGUAUGUCUUGACCCCUUGCACGCGGAUCCGCAGACACGCGUGGGGAGUGAAGCGAGCUUGAAGGGGAAAGGGUGGGGAAGGGGAACUGAAUCCCUAAGACCCCAUGCCCCAAUAUGAGCGUAACAAGGCCGCUAGGCGGGGAGGAGGUGCCUAACCGGCCGACACCUUUGCGUCACCCUGGUCUCAGCUGAGCGUCGCCUCCUCGGAGGGGCUGUGCCUGACCACUCUCUGCGAAGGUCCCUUCCUGCCCCGGCCGCUGCCGGGCUCAUUACCCGGUUUAUUUCUGGAGGACUUUGUUCACCACCCCAUGCCCAGUGCCCAGAAGGGCGCCAGGCACAUUCUUUCCCGCUGCGAUGCUGGUGAUGGGAAAGAGGUCGAUGGAAACCUUUGGCAGCCGAAUGCCAUGGUGGCGGUCACCGCGCGUCCUCGUGGUGCGCCUGGCAGCAAUGACAGCGGAAUUCGAAGUCAGAUCUGACUGUUCGCGUUCGCCUUUGUAGCCUUAGCUUCUCUGCCACUGGAAUAGGCUGAAGAGUAAAAGCCUUCUUCAGACGGCGGGAGGGUCUGACAGCGCGUAGAUGGAGCCUGGCCAGGGGCGUUCCGGUGGCAGCAAGGAGCGCGUCCCCAGGGUGGGCGGCUGCCACCGCCCGGAGAGUCCUUGAGGGAUGCCACGGGGGCACGGGUGGUCUCCAGGGCGGAUGAGACUAUUAUUGUUGCUAUUAUUAUUAUAAUUUUUGCACGCAGAGUGGAGGUGGGUAGGGUGAGGUGAGCCGGGCUCACAGGCCAGGAGUGAGGCGGAAGAACCCGGAGCCAGCCCAGCACAGCUCAGAGCCGGGCCAGGUGCGGCUGGUCCCGGCCCAGCGCUGCUUCACCUGGGAUGGCACGAGUUCUCGGGCAUGACCAUGCUGCAGCGCCUGGGAGCUUAAAGAAAUGAAAAUAAUAAUCGCUCAUUCGUUCCUUGGCAAAUUUUUAUUGUGCAUCUACUAUGUGUCCAGAACUAUUCUAGGAAGCGGAGGCUACAUCAGUGAACAAAAUAGACCAAAAAAAAAAAAAAAAAAAUCUUGCUCUCCUGAAGCUUACAUGGGAGUGAGGGGAAACAGAUAAUAUAUACAACAUAGAAUUAAGAGGUGGGAGACGAAGUCAAGGGAGGGCCUCUCUGAGAAGCUGACAUUUGAGCUUAAAAGUAAUGGUAUCCAGGGGCUAGUCACAAGGGUGUCAUUUGUGACAAUUCACUGACUGUGACACUUGUGAUUUUGCGCAUUUUUUGGAAUGUAUUUCAUACUUCAAUAAAAUGUUUGCUUAGAUUUAAUGCUG
rnacentral:lncRNA from 10 species